UACGUAGGGGGCAAGCGUUGUCCGGAAUUAUUGGGCGUAAAGAGCGUGUAGGCGGUCCGGUAAGUCGGCUGUGAAAGUCCAGGGCUCAACCCUGGGAUGCCGGUCGAUACUGCCGGACUAGAGUCCGGAAGAGGAGAGUGGAAUUCCUGGUGUAGCGGUGAAAUGCGCAGAUAUCAGGAAGAACACCCGUGGCGAAGGCGGCUCUCUGGGACGGUACUGACGCUGAGACGCGAAAGCGUGGGGAGCGAACAGG
rnacentral:rRNA from 1 species